GACGAACGCUGGCGGCGUGCUUAACACAUGCAAGUCGAACGGAAAGGCCCUGCUUUUGUGGGGUGCUCGAGUGGCGAACGGGUGAGUAACACGUGAGUAACCUGCCCUUGACUUUGGGAUAACUUCAGGAAACUGGGGCUAAUACCGGAUAGGAGCUCCUGCUGCAUGGUGGGGGUUGGAAAGUUUCGGCGGUUGGGGAUGGAAUCGCGGCUUAUCAGCUUGUUGGUGGGGUAGUGGCUUACCAAGGCUUUGACGGGUAGCCGGCCUGAGAGGGUGACCGGCCACAUUGGGACUGAGAUACGGCCCAGACUCCUACGGGAGGCAGCAGUGGGGAAUAUUGCACAAUGGGCGGAAGCCUGAUGCAGCAACGCCGCGUGCGGGAUGACGGCCUUCGGGUUAUAAACCGCUUUCGCCUGUGACGAAGCGUGAGUGACGGUAAUGGGUAAAGAAGCACCGGCUAACUACGUG
rnacentral:rRNA from 1 species